AUACGGAGGGUCCGAGCGUUAAUCGGAAUUACUGGGCGUAAAGCGCGCGUAGGUGGUUCAGUCAGUCGGAUGUGAAAGCCCCGGGCUCAACCUGGGAACUGCACCUGAUACUGCUGAGCUAGAGUACGGUAGAGGGCAGUGGAAUUUCCGGUGUAGCGGUGAAAUGCGUAGAGAUCGGAAGGAACACCAGUGGCGAAGGCGACUGCCUGGACUGAUACUGACACUGAGGUGCGAAAGCGUGGGUAGCAAACAGGAUUAGAUCCCCUGGUAGUCCACGCCGUAAACGAUGUCAACUAGCCGUUGGGGGACUUGAUCCUUUAGUGGCGAAGCUAACGCGAUAAGUUGACCGCCUGGGGAGUACGGCCGCAAGGUUAAAACUCAAAUGAAUUGGCGGGG
rnacentral:rRNA from 1 species